rnacentral:lncRNA from 1 species
GCUCACUCUGGUCUGGCCCAGUGACGUUACUCUCAUCAGUCACCCCAAAUGAAACAGCGCUGAAGUCCCUAGAUGGAGUUCUACUGGAGGAAGAAUGGAACUCUGACGACCUGGAAACAUUGACUUGGGCCAGACAGUUCGAACCAGUGCUUCUGGAGACGGCAUUCUACUGAGGCCCUGCCAGUGACCUUGGUCAGGGAUCUGCCCCUUCCUGAUUCCAGCCUAUUCAGUGCAGAGUGAAUGGGUUGGACCAGUCAUCUGGAAGGUCCAGGGUGACCUUGGGUGGGAGUUCAAGAGGACCCUGCAGCACCUCCUCCCCUUUGUCUGGGCUGGUGUGUGGUGAGGUGCUGGCUGUCCCUGAGCUCCAGGCUGUGGUGGGGGCUGCCGUGCCCUGGGAUGAAUGGAUUCACGGAUCUCGAGGAAGCUGAUGCCCCUCUUUGGAGGCACAGGAGAGUGAGUGGAGCGAGAUUUAUAGCAAGGUCUUCCUCAGGAGGAAUGAAACACGACCUGGAGAGCCCGCCUGCUGGCAAUAAGGCAGCUGAGGUGCCUGCGUGGUCAAUGUCCGCAAGGUCAUGGUCAUUUGGUGACCUUCGCGGUGCUCAGUCCCUUCCUUCUCCGGAAUCAGCUCUGAGCCUCCUGGACGCACGCCUGUCUUUCUUCCAUCUCAUUCAUCACAGGAACAACCACAGUCGUCACCUGCAAGCACUGAAUGUUGACCACAGACUGCUAAUCCAUCCAAAAUGUUCUCUGUCACCACUAUCCUGCAAGACACAUCUUGCUAAUGGAUGCACCAAGUAAAUGGAGAUGAAGUACAGAUGCUCAGAGACACACUUCAAAGCUCCGUCAGCUUGAUGCUGGGCGUGGUUCCCGGGGAAGGAGCCUGGCGGGGGGCCACCAAUCAUUCGGGCUGCAAGCUAGGUCUCUAUAAAGGCUCACGGCA